rnacentral:rRNA from 1 species
AGCGGCGGACGGGUGAGUAACGCGUGGGUAACCUACCUCAUACAGGGGGAUAACAGUUGGAAACGGCUGCUAAUACCGCAUAAGCGCACAGUACCGCAUGGUACCGUGUGAAAAACUCCGGUGGUAUGAGAUGGACCCGCGUCUGAUUAGCUAGUUGGUGGGGUAACGGCCUACCAAGGCGACGAUCAGUAGCCGACCUGAGAGGGUGACCGGCCACAUUGGGACUGAGACACGGUCCAG